UGCUUUACAUUAUUGUUCCAUUAUUCAUUCACUCUCACAUUCUCCCUCUGGUGGUGGUAAACUACAUCUGCAUCCACA